CAUCAAAUAACUUAAAGUAAGUUUAGAUCUUUUAAAUCUAAUAUAGUGCCUCACGUCCACUUUUGAUG
rnacentral:tRNA from 1 species